GACAACACCAACACCACCACCACCACCGUUCAACGCCUCGCGGGCCUUUGUGAUAAGGCGAGAGAUAUAGAGCCCCGAAGGAGCGUAAGCGACGGCGUCCGACGCACGGCGCAGAGAGGGAAGGAGCCGGCGAUGGCAGCGAUCCCAACGAUUUCGUCUACCUUCCUUCCGUGUCGAUCUCUUUUCGGUGGCGUCAGCAGGAAUUCCAGCCCCCUUCCUCGUUUCAGGAACCCUAAAUCCUUUCGUAUCCGAGCUGCCAAGCUUCCCGCUGGGGUGGAAGCGCCCAAGGUGGAACCGAAGCUCACGGCGCCAUUCCUUGGCUUCACAAGAACUGCAGAGGUGUGGAACUCAAGAGCAUGCAUGAUUGGCAUCUUUGGAACCUUCAUCGUAGAGCUGAUACUUAACAAGGGGAUACUGCAGAUACUUGGAGUAGAAGUGGGCAAAGGACUCGACCUCCCUCUCUAACCUGAGCAAAUGAACCGCAGCAACCACAGAUGAACUGUAAUCAUGCAGAUAAGCUGUACCCUUUGUCUCCAUCCAUUGCUGUGUUCCUAAAUGCUGCUACUCUGUUAUCUUUAGCUUUAUAUCAUGUUGAUCAAAGAGGUUGAAACAUAAUUCAUCAGCAUCUUCAUAUCAAGCAUCAAUGAAAUCAAAGACCAAUCAAUGUGCA